rnacentral:rRNA from 1 species
GACGAACGCUGGCGGCGUGCCUAAUACAUGCAAGUUGAGCGCUGAAGGUUGGUACUUGUACCAACUGGAUGAGCAGCGCACGGGUGAGUAACGCGUGGGGAAUCUGCCUUUGAGCGGGGGACAACAUUUGGAAACGAAUGCUAAUACCGCAUAAAAACUUUAAACACAAGUUUUAAGUUUGAAAGAUGCAAUUGCAUCACUCAAAGAUGAUCCCGCGUUGUAUUAGCUAGUUGGUGAGGUAAAGGCUCACCAAGGCGAUGAUACAUAGCCGACCUGAGAGGGUGAUCGGCCACAUUGGGACUGAGACACGGCCCAAACUCCUACGGGAGGCAGCAGUAGGGAAUCUUCGGCAAUGGACGAAAGUCUGAGCGAGCAACGCCGCGUGAGUGAAGAAGGUUGUCGGAUCGUAAAACUCUGUUGGUAGAGAAGAACGUUGGUGAGAGUGGAAAGCUCAUCAAGUGACGGUAACUACCCAGAAAGGGACGGCUAACUACGUG